CGCCCGUGGACAUCCUGAAACAUGCUUAAAAAUGUUUCCCUGCAUUCGAAUGAAUUCAAAUGAUUCCUAUGUGCGUGCCAGAUAUUCAUAUAUUCUCCUGCUUUUGGCUUUGGUCAUUUCAAUGAGCUAAACAACUUUAUACAGGGUGUCCCAAAAAACCUCAAAACUAUUGAAAUAAUUAUACGUAUAGUCAGAAUUUGUAUGCCCUAGCACUAAGUCGAACGCAAAGAUGCGUAAAAUAUUGACAGGGUGCAUAUAUUAUAAAUGUUGACUUAUCAAAAUAUUUGAAAUAUUUGCACGAUUUUCUGCUCUUGGGAAUUUAAAGCAACUUCUUAAACAGUUUAUUUAUGUAUAAAAUUUACUUAUGUCAAGAUUUUACGCACUUCAAAUUCUAACAAUAUAUUAUUUCAAUAGUUUUGGGGGUUUUGGCACACCGUGUAUAAUAACCUUAAGAAUUUCUGCGAUUACAUUGGUCGAGAGCCAUGAUCUAUUACAGGACAGAAGCACGGAAUAUGUAUUAGAUUUUAAAAUGUCGAAAAUAUUUGAAACUUCCACUGAAUUUAUACAAGUUGAAUGAAUUCAUGCAAUUAAAUCUAUAAACGUCAAUAAAUACCUUCGAUAAAUGUGCAAAAAUCACUGACACAAGCUAG